GAAAGCUCAGACCAGCAUCCUGGAUUUGAUUUCUCUCCUGUUGCACGUGGAACCAGAAAUUUUGAAACAAAAAUUUUACUUUUUUUUUCAAAUCUUUUAAUAAAAUUAUAAUUUAAUUAAUUGAAAGAUAAAUUAGAUUAACUAGAUAACACAAUAACAGUAACACAACCAUUCAAACUUAUGUCUCAACAUAAUGAUUUCCAAAUCAAAUGAAAAGAAAAUUACAUAUUAAAUAAAAGUUCUUACCUUUCCUUGUCGCUGAUGGUACAAACGGCGAUAAUAGGAAUUAAAAAGAAGAUUGAGGCCAAACCUUUGUGAAAUUGCAGAGAGGAUGAAAUACUAAGGUAGAAAAAAUCAAAAAUUUUUGGAAGAAUUUGAUAACAACCGAAUCUCCAUAGAGAAUUAACGCGGGAGUGUUUUAGAAGAGGUGAGAAAUUUGCAAACUAGAGAGAAAUUAGUAAAGUGUUCCUAUUUUGUUUGUAGUAAGAUUCUAAUUUAAC
rnacentral:lncRNA from 1 species